AGGCACUCGGGGUCUCCCUCCUCCAGGGUUUCCUGAAACAGGAUGCAUUCAGCCCUUGUAGAGUUGCUGGGGAAGUGGAAGGAAAACAGAGGUGACUCUUGAAGCCCCAGGAGCUGACCUUAGAUCUUGACACUCCUGGUGUGUGCAAAGGUCUGAGGAGACGGCCAGAUUGAGGUAAAGCAGUAAAAAUCCGUGCUUGUCAGGAAAGUAGCAAGAGCCGAGUUCUACACUAACCAUUGGCUGGCCUGGGGCAGCCUGCAGCUGCACAACUGCCUCGUACAAUGGCAUGGACAAGCAGUGUCGGUGACGUAGCAGGCCGCUGGGGACCUGGGAGACAUCCUGCUGCUGCAGGAGUCCUGUGCAGAGCAGAGGAGAGAGCAGUUUGAAAAGAACACUGAGCCUCAGAGAGGUCAAGCAAUUGGCCCAAGAUCACACAGCCUGCAAGAAACAGAGAUGGGACUCAGACCCUGGUCUAUUUGGCUCCCAUGUGCCUUACUACUAUGUUAUACCCACCCCUCCAGGAAUUUCAAGUCCCAAGAAAUGGCCUCCAGAAGGAAAUCCUUUGCCAUCCCCCUAACUUGAGUAUUCAGUGAUUUCUGGAAUAGAACUUGCCUGUUACAGAAAUGGGAAAAAUAUGAAGACACAUGCAAUAAAAAUAAAAACUAAAUUUAGAAUGAAGAGGAGACACAACCUAG
rnacentral:lncRNA from 1 species